GGUAGCUAAAAAUGGUUAUGGAAUUCCAAGUAGGAUGAGAAACUACUCUGACUUGACCGACAGUGGAAUCAUAUAACCCACCAAAGAAGAUGGCUUUAGCAACUAGCAAGCCAGCACCAAAACCCAACAAAACUAGGUGAAUGCCCAAGAUUGUGGUCAUUUUAUUGGCAUCUUGCCA
rnacentral:antisense_RNA from 1 species